GACGAACGCUGGCGGCGUGCUUAACACAUGCAAGUCGAGCGGUAAGGCCCUUUCGGGGGUACGACGAGCGGCGAACGGGUGAGUAACACGUGGGUGACCUGCCCUCCAGCUCUGGGAGUAAGCCUGGGAAACGUAGGGUCGUAAUACCGGAUAUGACUCCACGGUGCAUGUCGUGGGGUGGAAAGCCUUGUGCGGCUGAGGAUGGGCCCGGCGGCCUAUCAGCUUGUUGGUGGGGUGGAUGGCCUACCAAGGCGACGACGGGUAGCCGGCCUGAGAGGGC
rnacentral:rRNA from 1 species